rnacentral:rRNA from 1 species
AACGAACGCUGGCGGCAUGCCUAACACAUGCAAGUCGAACGAUGCCUUCGGGCAUAGUGGCGCACGGGUGCGUAACGCGUGGGAAUCUGCCUCUCGGUUCGGAAUAACUCAGGGAAACUUGAGCUAAUACCGGAUAACGUCGCAAGACCAAAGAUUUAUCACCGAAAGAUGAGACCGCGUAGGAUUAGCUAGUUGGUGAGGUAAAGGCUCACCAAGGCGACGAUCCUUAGCUGGUAUGGGAGGAUGAUCAGCCACACUGGCGCGAGGACGCAGCAGAGAAUCCUACGGGAGGGGGGAAAGGGGGAUGGUGGAACGUGGGGGGAGGCAUGAAGCAGCACGGACGGGAGAAUGAUGAAAGCAGGGAGGAAGAAAUGCUCAAUUACCCGGGAAGAUAAUGACGGUACCGAAAGAGUAAGCCCCGGCUAACUACGUG